rnacentral:rRNA from 1 species
CCUACGAGUGGCAGCAGUGAGGAAUAUUGGUCAAUGGGCGCGAGCCUGAACCAGCCAAGUAGCGUGCAGGAUGACUGCCCUACGGGUUGUAAACUUCUUUUAUAAAGGAAUAAAGUGAGGCACGUGUGCCUUUUUGUAUGUACUUUAUGAAUAAGGAUCGGCUAACUCCGUGCCAGCAGCCGCGGUAAUACGGAGGAUCCGCGCGUUAUCCGGAUUUAUUGGGUUUAAAGGGUGCGUAGAUGGGUUGUUAAGUCAGUUGUGAAAGUUUGCGGCUCAACCGUGAAAUUGCAAUUGAUACUGGCAGUCUUGAGUACAGAUGAGGUAGGCGGAAUUCAUGGUGUAGCGGUGAAAUGCUUAGAUAUCACGAAGAACUCCGAUUGCGAAGGCAGCUUACUAAGCUGCCACUGACGUUGAUGCUCGAAAGUGUGGGUAUCAAACAGGAUUAGAUACCCCUGUAGUC